AACAGUUAAAACAGCAUGUGCGGAGGGUCACACUGACACCUGAGGAAACAUUUCGGAUCAUCCAUUUGGUUAUUGAGGAGCUGAAAGUUCCAGCUGGGCUGGAUGAGGGUGGAGUGAGUCUCUUUAAAACACCUGGGUUCCCUGUUGAGAUGUGGGCAGCACAGCAGUGACACCUGGAGUGCAUUCAGGACCCAGCAGACAUGAGCAUGUACAGGGUGGCUACCACAAGAAAAAACAACGUGGAUGUUCCCGAUUAAAAAUGUCUGCAUGGAAGCAACAGCCUGGAAGGUUUUCAUGAAUUACUUCCUAACAUGAUUCCAGGUCCUCACUGAUAAGUGGCAUUGCAAGGUGGAACUCUGACAGGAGCUCAGAUGCUGUAUUUGGUGGUAAAUGAUUUACUCUGCAGCACUGAUCAAUCGCCUCAACACUCGCUGUCAGCAGCUGUUUGGACAAACCUGUAGAAGUAAACAUCUGUGGCCCAGCUGAUCUCAUAUCCACUGAAUUAUUCAGACUGCAGUGCUUGUUCAGCCAGAGCGAAGGAGACUCUCACCAAUGAUAACCUCCACAGUUCACCCUCCAGCCUGUGAAGAUGCCUGCAGUACAAAAGCCAUCCUGGAUUUGAAAAGCUGGACAUGUUCUGCUCUGUGUUAGUGGAGAUUAGCCUGAUAGAGGACAAAUUAUCACUUACCGCUGAGCAGAGGAACAAGGUCCUUCAGUGUGGGGGGGCAUGACAAGCAGCCACAAUAGUUUAACCAGCUGUACAAGACCCACAGGGACAACACCCUCUACAGCCACACUGACAGGGAUGACCUCGUUGAUGCUGCUCUUAUACAGAGAGUAAAGAUGGCCAAGGGCUAGGGACCCGCACAACGUCACAUCAGCACUCGGAGCAACAGUUAAACUAAACACUCUUAAACUUUUGUGGUUGCACUCACCUCAAGGUACUCACAACAGUCCAGAGAAACUCUCUAUUUUAAAGGCCUUUGAGCGAAUCCAGCAUCGUGUUCUGGUGGAAGAUGCGGUUCUUUGUAAAGCAGGCAUCUCCCUCAAAUGAACAUCAAGACUGUGCGAGACUUCGUCCAUCAGCAAGAAACUAUCCUCAAUCUGCAUGCAACAAAACAUUUGUGUUUUCCUGCUUGGAAUUGCAUACAUAGAAUUCAGUGCAUGAAUACGUUCCUGAAUCCUUUAUCAUCUACAGCUAAAAAUGGUUGGAAAUCAAGUGCAAUCAUUUGGGACGGGUCUUUAUCAAUUGAGUUCUGUCUUGCUGGGGUCACAGACCUCUGCAAAAACUGUGUGAUAGAGCUCUGGAUUGGUUUAGAUGGUUGUGGUGGUAUACUGCAUGAUGCUGUAGAUCAGGGGUAGCCAACCAGUCAGAGACCAAUGAGACUCUACACUCUGCCUUUGUAUUGUCAAUAAAAUUGAAGUGGUUUCAGA